rnacentral:lncRNA from 1 species
GUACAUUCUGAGAUGUUGUCUUAUUUUCCAGGUCGGGUUUCUGAUUGUAAAGUUACCUGUCCGGAGUUGUCCUCCACGAGUCUGUACGGUACAGGUGUGAACCUGGUGACGAUGUCGACUUCAACAAUGUGCUGUAAAAGUUGUUACAACGACUGUAUUUUAUUACCAUGUCGCCUAUAUUUCAUUUAUAUCCCGAAGUAGUGUUGUUUGGGAUUUUAGGAAUGUGAUUGUGAAGAUUUUGAAACCGGUAUCUUCCCUAAAACGGGUUUAUCAAUUAAAGUGCAUAAUGACAGAAGACCAGCAUGGUUGUUUAAACAAAGUGUAAACAUAUCGGCGUGUAUGGAAAAUGCUUCAACAGAACAAACACACCUGCCAUAAAACCAUGUAAAAUCUCAUAUGCCACCUAGUAUCUGUUAUAACAUCAUAUAAUAUAUCUGUUCCUUUUUAUAGGUAUCUGGUAACUUUUCCCUGAUGUUAAGGAAAAUGCUCUAAAACACGGUUUUAAGCAAUCAACAAGUAAUGAAGGACCAAGCAAACACACUUUAAUCUUCUAUGAUACAAAUCUGUUGUAAAAAAAUAUAAUCUAUUCAAAACAUUUUACAAUAUGUUUAAGUCUGUGGAUGUUCUGUUAAGGCGAAGUGAUGGCAGAAAGGUGCCAGAUAUGAGAUGAAAGUUAACUGCUAACUUUCCCAUGAUGCUCUCUGUCCUGUUUUCUAAAUACUGAGAACCAGCAGGCAGCAGCUAGCUCUGUCUAUACACUGAUCAGGAACACACACACACACACACACACACACACACACACACACACACACACACUGAUCAAGAAAGGUCUAUUUGACAGGACGUGUUUGGACUGUUGCUCAACGUCUGUAGUGUCAACUCACCGGAACAGGCUCAAACACAUCUAACAUCUAUUCCACAGUUAAGUUCACAUCUUAUUCAAUCAAUCAAAUGUUAUUUAAAAAGCACCUCUUUUUGUUUUAACAAAGUAUGCAGCUCAAAGUGCUUAUUACCGUCUAAUGCCGUAGUAGUGUGUUAUUACCGUCUAAUGCCGUAGUAGUGUGUUAUUACCGUCUAAUGCCGUAGUAGUAGUGUUAUUACCGUCUAAUGCCG